rnacentral:rRNA from 1 species
GAUGAACGCUAGCGAUAGGCCUAACACAUGCAAGUCGAGGGGCAUCACAUGAGGCAGCAAUGCCGAUGGUGGCGACCGGCGCACGGGUGAGUAACACGUAUGCAACCUGCCUUCAACAAGGGGAUAACCCGUUGAAAAACGGACUAAUACCCUAUAAUACAGGGGUCCCGCAUGGGGAUAUUUGUUAAAGAUUGAUCGGUUGAAGAUGGGCAUGCGUUCCAUUAGCUGGUUGGUGAGGUAACGGCUCACCAAGGCAACGAUGGAUAGGGGAACUGAGAGGUUUAUCCCCCACACUGGUACUGAGACACGGACCAGACUCCUACGGGAGGCAGCAGUGAGGAAUAUUGGUCAAUGGACGCAAGUCUGAACCAGCCACGUCGCGUGAAGGAAGACGGCCCUACGGGUUGUAAACUUCUUUUAUACGGGAAUAAAGUGCCCCACGCGUGGGGUUUUGCAUGUACCGUAUGAAUAAGGAUCGGCUAACUCCGUGCCAGCAGCCGCGGUAAUU